UAGCUAGUUGGUGAGGUAAAGGCUUACCAAGGCGAUGAUCUGUAGCGGGUCUGAGAGGAUGAUCCGCCACACUGGAACUGAGACACGGUCCAGACUCCUACGGGAGGCAGCAGUGGGGAAUUUUGGACAAUGGGGGCAACCCUGAUCCAGCCAUGCCGCGUGAGUGAAGAAGGCCUUCGGGUUGUAAAGCUCUUUCGGCCGGGAAGAAAUCGCAUGGGCCAAUACCCUGUGUGGAUGACGGUACCGGAAUAAGAAGCACCGGCUAACUACGUGCCAGCAGCCGCGGUAAUACGUAGGGUGCGAGCGUUAAUCGGAAUUACUGGGCGUAAAGCGUGCGCAGGCGGUUUUGUAAGACAGGCGUGAAAUCCCCGGGCUUAACCUGGGAACUGCGUUUGUGACUGCAAGGCUAGAGUACGGCAGAGGGGGGUGGAAUUCCACGUGUAGCAGUGAAAUGCGUAGAGAUGUGGAGGAACACCAAUGGCGAAGGCAGCCCCCUGGGUCGAUACUGACGCUCAUGCACGAAAGCGUGGGUAGCAAACAGGAUUAGAUACCCUGGUAGUCCACGCCCUAAACUAUGUCAACUAGGUGUUGGGUGGGUAAAACCAUUUAGUACCGUAGCUAACGCGUGAAGUUGACCGCCUGGGGAGUACGGCCGCAAGGUUAAAACUCAAAGGAAUUGACGGGGACCCGCACAAGCGGUGGAUGAUGUGGAUUAAUUCGAUGCAACGCGAAAAACCUUACCUACCCUUGACAUGCCAGGAACUUGCCAGAGAUGGCUUGGUGCCCGAAAGGGAGCCUGGACACAGGUGCUGCAUGGCUGUCGUCAGCUCGUGUCGUGAGAUGUUGGGUUAAGUCCCGCAACGAGCGCAACCCUUGUCGUUAAUUGCCAUCAUUUAGUUGGGCACUUUAACGAGACUGCCGGUGACAAACCGGAGGAAGGUGGGGAUGACGUCAAGUCCUCAUGGCCCUUAUGGGUAGGGCUUCACACGUCAUACAAUGGUCGGUACAAGGGGUUGCCAAGCCGCGAGGCGGAGCCAAUCCCAGAAAGCCGAUCGUAGUCCGGAUUGCAGGCUGCAACUCGCCUGCAUGAAGUCGGAAUCGCUAGUAAUCGUGGAUCAGCAUGUCACGGUGAAUACGUUCCCGGGUCUUGUACACACCGCCCGUCACACCAUGGGAGCGGGUUCCGCCAGAAGUAGGUAGCCUAACCGCAAGGGAGGCGCUUACCACGGCGGGGUUCGUGACUGGGGUGAAGUCGUAACAAGGUAGCCGUAGGGAACCUGCGGCUG
rnacentral:rRNA from 1 species